UACAGAGGGUGCGAGCGUUAAUCGGAGUUACUGGGCGUAAAGGGCGCGUAGGCGGUGAGUCAAGUGAGAUGUGAAAGCCCUGGGCUCAACCUAGGAAUUGCAUUUCAAACUGAGUUGCUAGAGUACAGUAGAGGGUGGUGGAAUUUCCGGUGUAGCGGUGAAAUGCGUAGAGAUCGGAAGGAACAUCAGUGGCGAAGGCGACCACCUGGACUGUAACUGACGCUGAGGCGCGAAAGCGUGGGUAGCAAACAGG
rnacentral:rRNA from 1 species